rnacentral:rRNA from 1 species
CCGGGGAUAAUUACGCAAAAUCUAAUCCCUCCCCUAGGGAGAGCGGGUCGCAACCCUGCCACUAUGAGCGCCGUUCGAUUUAGGGGGGGGGAGCGSCUCCCAGCGUCGUAUGUUGAGAGGACCACCACGGGAUGAGACCGCCCAGCUCUCGGGAGCGCAGGGGGAAUUUUGGACAAGGGGGAACCUGAUCCAGCCAUCCCGGUGUGGAUGAAGUUUCGGUUGUAAACAUUUGGCAGAAAGAAACGUCAUGGGUUAAUCCCCGUGAACUGCGGUCCUGCAGAUAAGCACCGGCUAUACGUCCAGCAGCCGCGGUAAUACGUAGGGUGCAAGCGUUUGGAAUUUGGGCGUAAAGCGUGCGCAGGGUUGGAAAGAAAGAUGUGAAUCCCAGAGCUUAACUUGGACGCAUUUUUAACUACCGGCUAGAGUGGUCAGAGGGAGGGGAAUUCGCGUGUCAGUGAAAUGGUAGAUAGGGAGGAACCCGAGGGAAGGCAGCCUCGGGAUACACUACGUCAUGCGAAAGCGGGGGAGCAAACAGGAUUAGAUCCGGUAGUCCACGCCUAAGAGUAUCAGUCAUGUCAAGGCGGUAAGGUUGCUUGAAUWRWCCCAUGCCCUGCGCCAACAAUUCUUCAGUCAUCAGGCAGAAGGCGCGUUCAUCAUUACG